rnacentral:rRNA from 1 species
UACAGAGGUCUCAAGCGUUGUUCGGAUUCAUUGGGCGUAAAGGGUGCGUAGGCGGCGCGGUAAGUCGGGUGUGAAAUCUUGGAGCUUAACUCCGAAACUGCAUUCGAUACUGCCGUGCUUGAGGACUGGAGAGGAGACUGGAAUUUACGGUGUAGCGGUGAAAUGCGUAGAUAUCGUAAGGAACACCAAAGGCGAAAGCAGGAUCCUGGCCAGCUUCUGACACUCAGGCACGAAGGCUAGGGGAGCAAACGGG